GGCGCACAUAAGACAUGCAAGUCGAACGAACUUAACCAUUAGUUUACUAUUGGAGCGGUUAGUGGCGGACUGGUGAGUAACACGUAAGCAACCUGCCUAUCAGAGGGGAACGACAGUUAGAAAUGACUGCUAAUACCGCAUAUGCCUUAGUAACACAUGUUACAAAAGGGAAAGGAGCAAUCCGCUGAUAGAUGGGCUUGCGUCUGAUUAGCUAGUUGGUGGGGUAACGGCCUACCAAGGCAACGAUCAGUAGCCGAACUGAGAGGUUGAACGGCCACAUUGGGACUGAGAUACGGCCCAGACUCCUACGGGAGGCAGCAGUCGGGAAUAUUGCGCAAUGGAGGAAACUCUGACGCAGUGACGCCGCGUGCAGGAAGAAGGUUUUCGGAUUGUAAACUGCUUUAGACAGGGAAGAAACAAGACAGUACCUGUAGAAUAAGCUCCGGCUAACUACGUGCCAGCAGCCGCGGUAAUACGUAGGGAGCAAGCGUUAUCCGGAUUUAUUGGGUGUAAAGGGUGCGUAGACGGGAAGGCAAGUUGGUUGUGAAAUCCCUCGGCUUA
rnacentral:rRNA from 1 species